rnacentral:rRNA from 1 species
UACGUAGGGGGCGAGCGUUGUCCGGAAUUAUUGGGCGUAAAGAGCGUGUAGGCGGUUCGGUAAGUCUGCCGUGAAAACCUGAGGCUCAACCUCGGGCGUGCGGUGGAUACUGCCGGGCUAGAGGACGGUAGAGGCGAGUGGAAUUCCCGGUGUAGCGGUGAAAUGCGCAGAUAUCGGGAGGAACACCAGUAGCGAAGGCGGCUCACUGGACCAUAACUGACGCUGAUGCACGAAAGCUGGGGGGGAGCAAAACAGG